CCUGUGACAUACCAAUUGUUGCCUCGGCGGAUCAGCCCGCUCCCGGUAAAACGGGACGGCCCGCCAGAGGACCCCUAAACUCUGUUUCUAUAUGUAACUUCUGAGUAAAACCAUAAAUAAAUCAAAACUUUCAACAACGGAUCUCUUGGUUCUGGCAUCGAUGAAGAACGCAGCAAAAUGCGAUAAGUAAUGUGAAUUGCAGAAUUCAGUGAAUCAUCGAAUCUUUGAACGCACAUUGCGCCCGCCAGUAUUCUGGCGGGCAUGCCUGUUCGAGCGUCAUUUCAACCCUCAAGCCCUCGGGUUUGGUGUUGGGGAUCGGCGAGCCCUUGCGGCAAGCCGGCCCCGAAAUCUAGUGGCGGUCUCGCUGCAGCUUCCAUUGCGUAGUAGUAAAACCCUCGCAACUGGUACGCGGCGCGGCCAAGCCGUUAAACCCCCAACUUCUGAAUGUUGACCUCGGAUCAGGUAGGAAUACCCGCUGAACUUAAGCAUAUCAAUAAGCGGAGGAA
rnacentral:rRNA from 1 species